AUUGAACGCUGGCGGCAGGCCUAACACAUGCAAGUCGAGCGCAGCGGCGGACGGGUGGGUAAUGCCUAGGAAUCUGCCUGGUAGUGGGGGAUAACGUCCGGAAGCGGGCGCUAAUACCGCAUACUAUCAGAUGAGUCUAGGGUGGAUGAGCUAGUUGGUGGGGUAAAGGCCUACCAAGGCGACGAUCAGUAACCGGUCUGAGAGGAUGAUCAGUCACACUGGAACUGAGACACGGUCCAGACUCCUACGGGAGGCAGCAGUGGGGAAUAUUGGACAAUGGGCGAAAGCCUGAUCCAGCCAUGCCGCGUGUGUGAAGAAGGUUUUCGGAUUGUAAAGCACUUUAAGUUGGGAGGCGUUACCAACAGAAUAAGCACCGGCUAACUUCGUGCCAGCAGCCGCGGUAAUUC
rnacentral:rRNA from 1 species